rnacentral:rRNA from 1 species
UACGUAGGGUGCGAGCGUUGUCCGGAAUUAUUGGGCGUAAAGGGCUCGUAGGCGGUCUGUCACGUCGGGAGUGAAAACACGGGGCUUAACCCCGUGCCUGCUUCCGAUACGGGCAGACUAGAGGUAUGCAGGGGAGAACGGAAUUCCUGGUGUAGCGGUGGAAUGCGCAGAUAUCAGGAGGAACACCGGUGGCGAAGGCGGGUCUCUGGGCCGUUACUGACGCUGAGGAGCGAAAGCGUGGGGAGCGAACAGG